rnacentral:lncRNA from 1 species
UAUGCCGUAAGAACACUAGGAGAAAUGAGUUGUCUGGACUGUAAGGUUUUAGACCGAGUAAGCAUAGGAUGAGUGUUAAUCGGAGGAGGAUGAGAACCAGUAGGACAGGAGCUGUUCUCGGGUCCUAGGGAGCUAUAGCUAGCCUCAGAUACCGGAGAGCUGGUCUCGGAUCCAGCAGUAGUGUCCUGACUAGACACUCUAGUGUGAAGCCUGGUCUCGGGUUCCAGGUGGUUGUUCUCAGGUCCAACCGUGUGAGGACUAGGCACAGUGUCCAGGGGGCUGGUCUCGGGUUCCAGGUGGCUGUUCUCGGGUCCAGCCGUGGGUGACACUCUAGACACAACCGUGAGAGGAAAAUUAAUAGUAGGAGUAGACAAACUUUUGGGAGAAGAGGAGACUUUAUUAGU